rnacentral:rRNA from 1 species
UAGCCUGAACCAGCCAAGUAGCGUGAAGGAUGAAGGCUCUAUGGGUCGUAAACUUCUUUUAUAUAAGAAUAAAGUGCAGUAUGUAUACUGUUUUGUAUGUAUUAUAUGAAUAAGGAUCGGCUAACUCCGUGCCAGCAGCCGCGGUAAUACGGAGGAUCCGAGCGUUAUCCGGAUUUAUUGGGUUUAAAGGGAGCGUAGGUGGACUGGUAAGUCAGUUGUGAAAGUUUGCGGCUCAACCGUAAAAUUGCAGUUGAUACUGUCAGUCUUGAGUACAGUAGAGGUGGGCGGAAUUCGUGGUGUAGCGGUGAAAUGCUUAGAUAUCACGAAGAACUCCGAUUGCGAAGGCAGCUCACUGGACUGCAACUGACACUGAUGCUCGAAAGUGUGGGUAUCAAACAGGAUUAGAUACCCUGGUAGUCCACACAGUAAACGAUGAAUACUCGCUGUUUGCGAUAUACAGUAAGCGGCCAAGCGAAAGCAUUAAGUAUUCCACCUGGGGAGUACGCCGGCAACGGUGAAACUCAAAGGAAUUGACGGGGGCCCGCACAAGCGGAGGAACAUGUGGUUUAAUUCGAUGAUACGCGAGGAACCUUACCCGGGCUUAAAUUGCAGUGGAAUGAUGUGGAAACAUGUCAGUGAGCAAUCACC